rnacentral:snoRNA from 1 species
AUCAAUGGUCUUAGGAAUCUGGAGGAAAAAAUAUAGGUUAUUUAAGAGAUCUAAUCCUCUUUUGAGACCCAGCACUCAUUGUUCGGUAUGAGUUUUGAUACAGAUAAGAAGGAACGUG